rnacentral:rRNA from 1 species
GAGAGGGGGACCUUCAGGCCUCUCGCGGGGGGAUAUGCCCCGGUGGGAUUAGCAAGUUGGUGAGGUAAGGGCUCACCGGGGCGACUAUCCCUAGCUGGUCUGAGAGGAUGAUCGGCCACAGUGGAACGGAGACAGGGUGCUGACUCCUACGGGAGGCAGCAGUGGGGAAUGUUGCGCAGUGGGCGCAAGCCUGAAGCGACCCUGCCGCGUGUAUGAAGAAGGCCUUCGGGUUGUUUGUACUUUCAGCAGUGUGGAAGGAGGUAUCGUUAAUAGCGGUAUCAUUUGACGUUGCUGCUGAAAAAGCGCCGGCUAGGUCCAUGCCUAUAGCCGCGGUAAUACGGAGGGUGCGAGCGUUAAUCGGAAUUACUGGGCGUAAAGCGCAUGCAGGUGGUUUGUUAAGUCAGAUGUGAAAGCCCGGGGCUCAACCUCGGAAUUGCAUUUGAAACUGGCAGGCUAGAGUACUGUAGAGGGGGGUAGAAUUUCAGGUGUAGCGGUGAAAUGCGUAGAGAUCUGAAGGAAUACCGGUGGCGAAGGCGGCCCCCUGGACAGAUACUGACACUCAGAUGCGAAAGCGUGGGGAGCACACAGGAUUAGAUACCCUGGUAGUCCACGCCGUAACGAUGUCUACUUGGAGGUUGUG